UACGUAGGUGGCAAGCGUUAUCCGGAUUUACUGGGCGUAAAGGGUGUGCAGGCGGGGCUGUAAGUGGGGUGUGAAAUCUCCAGGCUUAACCUGGAGGGGUUAUGCCAGACUGCAGUUCUAGAGGGCGAGAGAGGGGGGUGGAAUUCCGGGUGUAGUGGUGAAAUGCGUAGAGAUCCGGAGGAACCCCAGAGGCGAAGGCGGCCCCCUGGCUCGUACCUGACGCUCAGCCACGAAAGCAUGGGGAGCGAACGGG
rnacentral:rRNA from 1 species